CCAGGAGAAUUUUUACCCCACUCCCUUGCAUGGUGUCGGAGAUUUUUGAAAAAAAAACUGAUUUUCCUUGUAUAAAUUUAAAUUUCUUACCACUACUCGUACAGUGCCAUCUCUUAGAAAUUUUGCCGCGGCGGGUAUCCUAUUCUCUUAACACUGCAAAUAUUAAUCAUGCAAAUAACUAUUUUAAUUAAAAACAUAUAAAAAAAAUUAAAUAAUAAAAACCUUUAGCAGGUAAAUUUCGCGCAACAUUGCCUAAACGCACCUAACAGUGUAUGUUUACAUCCAGUUGGACAUCUGUGCGCGUCGCGAAAACGUCAGCUGAUGCUCAAGUGUUUUGCUGUAGUUUGCGUAUUUCGCUGUUUGCGAAUGAAUGGAAUACCCGAUUCGAGUGGUAGUUUGACAGUUCGCUCCAUAAGAAAUACAUUUCUCACUACCAAUCGCGUCGGGUACUCCAUUACGGUGCAUUUUUUUUUUUGAUGAUGUUUCGUAUGGAUUCGAAACGAGUGCUGUGAAACUUGUGGACCACGUAGGUUUAGGAUUGCUCGGCGUUAAACAUCUGUGUUUGUGGAUAUCUUUCAAGACGGCAUCCGUGAUUCUUCUGAACGAUCAAGAAGAAACAGGAUAAAUUUGAGACCUAAACCCAGAUCCAGCAGACGACCCUGAUUGAUACACGGAUCAAUAAGCUUCUGUUCGGUGCGGCUAAUCCAGCCGGAUUUGGCAAGUUGGCGGUCCAGACCUUUCCGAAAUGGUCAAACCGACUUUCAGAGGGAACCUUUGUUGACGGAGCUGGAAACAGAACCGAUUUCGCGUGGAUUUUUUUUUUCAGAGAAAGCGAAGCAUUUCGCAGCAUGUUUUUGUUUAUAAACUCAUAGUCUAGGAUAUAACGUAUUGAAGAAUAUUACCAGCAACCUAAUGGACAAAUCAGAUAAGUUAACAUUAAAUGUAGUAAGCUAGAUACUGUGCAGUUUGUUUUCUUUUUUCAGGUUUAAACCAAGAGCAACAAGAUCACCAGGUGAACUCUCGAUAGCCCGGCGUUGCACGACUGCUUCGUUUUCCUUCAGAAGCGGCUGCUGAAGUUACGUUAAACUUGGAACCCAUCCAUCCGACCGACGAUUUCCACAGGAUGGCGGAGAUGGAGCUGAUAUUCGGUCAACUUUCUACCGCAUUGGAUGCCUCCUUGAUCUGUGAUUUUUUUUUUCCUCUGUAUAAUUUAAUCCUAAGACUUUUUGUGGAUUUUUUUGUGUUUUUGUGAAAUAAAAAAAUAAAUAAGCUAUUUGACCAAAGCAAAAUAAAUGUUUCUAGCUCAAAAUUCCGAAAAUCCUUGAAAAAUUGAUGUUCAUUCGAAUUGUUACAACUAUUUCCCUAAAUGUAAUGCGCCAUGAAAAAUCACUGAAAUAACUAUUUAAAACCAUAAAAAUACCAUUUGAGAAAUGGUGAAAUCCCUAAAAUAUAUACGCAAAAAUGAACUUUCAAAAAGCAUUUGACAAAGUGUCGCUAGAAGAAAAAAUCAAAUAGUGAAUAUUGCUAACAACAUAUAUGGGGAAUAGUUCACUAUUUGAGAGACAGUGAGGAAUUAAAAAAAUGAUUUACCAAAUAGUGGCUAUACAAUUUGUCAAAAUGUUGAUUGAAUAUUUAACAAAUGAUUUCCAAACGGUUUUUUUCUA